rnacentral:lncRNA from 1 species
UCUAUUUCCAGAAAAGGGUUAAACAACUUCUUGAAACAGAAGCCUGCCUACUGGACCCACCUCAGUCAAGGAAAACUGUGGCUCUUUCCAGAGGUGCCUGAGACACCUACCUCCUAAGGCUCAGAUCUGAAGAUCUCUGCAUGGUACUGGGCACAGAACCUAGUUGCCUUCACAGUAUGCCUUACUAUGGGGGGACCCCUUCCCUGGAGCAGUGGUAAAACAGGAAGUGACCAUCGUGAACCCUGAGCAUGGCUCAGGAGCCUCCCACUGGUUUCCCUGUUCUGCAGAUGGGGUAGCUAUUGUCUGUAUGGACGCUUGGGCAUCUGGUCACCCAUGGACCGUAUUUCAAUCUUUGUCUUGUGUACUGGACAGAGAAGCAGAUGAUCUCUGAGGAACAGAAUGUCAGAAGCAGGUUUCUCUUGGUGCUGCCAGCACAGAUGAUCUGAAUGGAGAAUUCCUCAUUCUUAAAGAACCAGGGGUUGCUGGACUGUCAUGGCGACGUCAAUGUACUACUCCAGCCUUGAGGACUGAUGUUAAAGGAUUAGCCUGGUAAGGACUUCCCAACCAGGGCUCAUACAGGACUAGAUAUUGGAAAGCAGUGGGGGUGGGGGAACCCAAAAUUUAAAAGAAUGAAAAGUAUCCAUAUACACAUUCCAUUCAAAAUUAUAAUUGUUAAUGUUUGAUGAAUUUUCCAGAAUCUAUUUUUAAUAUAUAAAUGGUACCAUUGAAUGUACCCACACUUAUUUCUUAUUGUACAAUUAAAAUGCAGU